rnacentral:RNase_P_RNA from 1 species
CGAGUAAACCGGACGGUCGCGCCUAGAGCUCAGAACGCAGAGCCGAGAGCACAGAUAGUUACUGUUCAGAAGGAACCUCUUCAACAUUCUAUCUCGGCUCUAAGCUCUCGGUUCUCGGUUCUAGCCGAGGAAAGUCCGAGCGCCGCAGGGCAGGAUGCCGGCUAACGGCCGGUGGGGGCGACCCCAAGGACAGUGCAACAGAAAUAAACCGCCCGGCUGGCGCGCUACACCAGACGGGUAAGGG